AAAGACCCGUCUACAAUACACGGAGUAAGAAGUAAGAGUAAGAAAUUGACCAAUCACAGUCGAUUAUUCUUCUCACAUUCGACUGUGAUUGGUCAAUUUCUUACUCUUACUUCUUACUCCAUGUAUUGUAGACGGGCCUUU
rnacentral:pre_miRNA from 1 species